GAUGAACGCUGGCGGCGUGCCUAAUACAUGCAAGUCGAGCGAACGGACGAGAAGCUUGCUUCUCUGAUGUUAGCGGCGGACGGGUGAGUAACACGUGUAUAACCUACCUAUAAGACUGGGAUAACUUCGGGAAACCGUAGCUAAUACCGGAUAAUAUUUUGAACCGCAUGGUUCAAAAGUGAAAGACGGUCUUGCUGUCACUUAUAGAUGGAUCCGCGCUGCAUUAGCUAGUUGGUAAGGUAACGGCUUACCAAGGCAACGAUGCAUAGCCGACCUGAGAGGGUGAUCGGCCACACUGGAACUGAGACACGGUCCAGACUCCUAAGGGAGGCAGCAGUAGGGAAUCUUCCGCAAUGGGCGAAAGCCUGACGGAGCAACGCCGCGUGAGUGACGAAGGUCUUCGGAUCGUAAAACUCUGUUAUUAGGGAAGAACAUAUGUGUAAGUAACUGUGCACAUCUUGACGGUACCUAAUCAGAAAGCAACGGCUAACUACGUG
rnacentral:rRNA from 1 species